CCUACGGGAGGCAGCAGUGAGGAAUAUUGGUCAAUGGGAGAGAGCCUGAACCAGCCAAGCCGCGUGAGGGAAGACGGCCCUAUGGGUUGUAAACCUCUUUUGUCGGAGAACAAAACCCGGGACGUGUCCCGGACUGCGAGUAUCCGAAGAAAAAGCAUCGGCUAACUCCGUGCCAGCAGCCGCGGUAAUACGGAGGAUGCGAGCGUUAUCCGGAUUUAUUGGGUUUAAAGGGUGCGUAGGCGGACCGUUAAGUCAGCGGUAAAAUUGCGGGGCUCAACCCCGUCGAGCCGUUGAAACUGGCAGACUUGAGUGGGCGAGAAGUACGCGGAAUGCGUGGUGUAGCGGUGAAAUGCAUAGAUAUCGCGCAGAACUCCGAUUGCGAAGGCAGCGUACCGGCGCCAGACUGACGCUGAGGCACGAAAGCGUGGGGAUCGAACAGGAUUAGAUACCCCUGUAGUC
rnacentral:rRNA from 1 species